UCUGGCUCAGGACGAACGCUGGCGGCGUGCCUAACACGAUGCAAGUCAACGGGGAUUUGUUUCGGCAGAAUCCUAGUGGCGAACGGGUGAGUAACGCGUAGGCAACCUGCCCUCCGCCGGGGACAACACUCCGAAAGGGGUGCUAAUACCGGAUACGAAGUCUGUGCCGCAUGGUACGGAUUUGAAAGAUGGCCUCUAUUUAUAAGCUAUCGCCGGGGGAUGGGCCUGCGUCCGAUUAGCUGGUUGGUGGGUAACGGCCUACCAAGGCGACGAUCGGUAGCCGGUCUGAGAGGAUGAACGGCCACAUUGGGACUGAGACACGGCCCAGACUCCUACGGGGGGCAGCAGUGGGGAAUCUUCCGCAAUGGGCGCAAGCCUGACGGAGCAACGCCGCCGUGAGUGAGGAAGUUCUUCGGAACGUAAAGCUCUGUUGUUCCUGACGAACCUCCCCUCUAUCAACAACGGAGGGGACUGACGGUAGGGAACGAGGAAGCCACGGCUAACUACGUGCCAGCCGCAGC
rnacentral:rRNA from 1 species